UAUUAAAAAAUUAUCAAUUUCUACUGUUAAAAAUUGGUAUAGCUGAUAGAAUAACUAGACAAUUAUACGUGAUAUGUCACGUGUACUUCAUGCCGACGUAUAUGGACCAUUUUUAACAGUAAGAAUAGAUGUAAUUUUUAACA
rfam:Gossypium hirsutum cultivar TM-1 chromosome 2, whole genome shotgun sequence